AGAGCGAACGCUGGCGGCAGGCCUAACACAUGCAAGUCGAGCGCCCGUAGCAAUACGGGAGCGGCAGACGGGAUAGUAACACGUGGGAACGCGCCCUUCGGUUCGGAAUAACUCAGGGAAACUUGAGCUAAUACCGGAUACGCCCUUACGGGGAAAGAUUUAUUGCCGAAGGAACGGCCCGCGUCCGAUUAGCUAGUUGGUGAGGUAAUGGCUCACCAAGGCUACGAUCGGUAGCUGGUCUGAGAGGAUGACCAGCAUCACUGGGACUGAGACACGGCCCAGACUCCUACGGGAGGCAGCAGUGGGGAAUAUUGGACAAUGGGCGCAAGCCUGAUCCAGCCAUGCCGCGUGGAUGAUGAAGGCCUUAGGGUUGUAAAGUCCUUUUAAGGGGAAGUAUAAUGACGGUACCCGUAGAAUAAGCCCGGCUAACUUCGUGCCAGCAGCCGC
rnacentral:rRNA from 1 species